rnacentral:rRNA from 1 species
CGCGUAGGCGAGUGGCCAAGUCAGGGGUGAAAUCUUUCGGCUUAACCGGAAAUAAGCCUUUGAUACUGGCCGUCUUGAGCGAGGUAGGGGCGAUGUGGAACUUCCGGUGGAGCGGUGAAAUGCGUUGAUAUCGGAAGGAACGCCGGUGGCGAAAGCGACGUGCUGGACCUCUUCUGACGCUGAGGCGCGAAAGCUAGGGGAGCGAACGGGAUUAGAUACCCCGGUAGUCCUAGCCCUAAACGAUGGGUACUAGGUAGUGGACUUAACAUGGGUUCACUGCCGAAGCAAAAGUGUUAAGUACCCCGCCUGGGGAGUAUGGUCGCAAGGCUGAA